rnacentral:sRNA from 1 species
UGUCAUGUGUAGAUACCUCGAGUUUUGGU